rnacentral:rRNA from 1 species
GACGAACGCUGGCGGCGUGCUUAACACAUGCAAGUCGAACGGAAAGGCCCUGCUUUUGUGGGGUGCUCGAGUGGCGAACGGGUGAGUAACACGUGAGUAACCUGCCCUUGACUUUGGGAUAACUCCAGGAAACUGGGGCUAAUAUCGGAUAGGAGAUCCUGCUGCAUGGUGGGGGUUGGAAAGUUUCGGCGGUUGGGGAUGGACUCGCGGCUUAUCAGCUUGUUGGUGGGGUAGUGGCUUACCAAGGCUUUGACGGGUAGCCGGCCUGAGAGGGUGACCGGCCACAUUGGGACUGAGAUACGGCCCAGACUCCUACGGGAGGCAGCAGUGGGGAAUAUUGCACAAUGAGCGGAAGCCUGAUGCAGCAACGCCGCGUGCGGGAUGACGGCCUUCGAGUGGUAAACCGCUUUCGCCUGUAACGAAGCGUGAGUGACGGUAAUGGGUAAAGAAGCACCGGCUAACUACGUG